rnacentral:rRNA from 1 species
GACUUGACAUCUCCUGAAUUACUCUUAAUCGAGGAAGUCCCUUCGGGGACAGGAAGACAGGUGGUGCAUGGUUGUCGUCAGCUCGUGUCGUGAGAUGUUGGGUUAAGUCCCGCAACGAGCGCAACCCUUAUUGUUAGUUGCUACUAUUAAGUUAAGCACUCUAACGAGACUGCCGCGGUUAACGUGGAGGAAGGUGGGGAUGACGUCAAAUCAUCAUGCCCCUUAUGUCUAGGGCUACACACGUGCUACAAUGGCUGGUACAACGAGCAGCAAACCCGCGAGGGGGAGCAAAACUUGAAAGCCAGUCCCAGUUCGGAUUGUAGGCUGAAACUCGCCUACAUGAAGUUGGAGUUGCUAGUAAUCGCGAAUCAGCAUGUCGCGGUGAAUACGUUCCCGGGUCUUGUACACACCGCCCGUCACACCAUGAGAGCCGGUAACACCCGAAGCCCGUGAGGUAACCGUAAGGAGCCAGCGGUCGAAGGUGGGAUUGGUGAUUGGGGUGAAGUCGUAACAAGGUAGCCGUAGGAGAACCUGCGUCUGGAUCACCUCCUUUCUAGGGA